ensembl:lncRNA
GACCCAUCAGGUUUGGUUGUGUUACAAACAAAGCAGUUGAUUGCAAUGAAACCAAACAUGACUGGAAAAGUCACGUUUAGUGUGUGUAUUUACAUCAAAUGUGUCGUCGAAAAUGGAAUGAGACGGAAUUCACGACACAAGCGGUUCACAAAAUGUGUUAGGCUAUAAAAAUGGAUUUUAUCAAACAAAAUACUGUUCAUUGUGUAACAAUGAGCAUUGGAAUUGCAAACAGAAGAAGAUUGUCAAAGGUGCAGCACUUCUAUCACCGUUUACAAACAAGAAAGGGACAGGUUAUGUCAACUGGCUGAGGAAGCAGAUGGCCC